rnacentral:rRNA from 1 species
UACGGAGGAUGCGAGCGUUAUCCGGAUUUAUUGGGUUUAAAGGGUGCGUAGGCGGACGCUUAAGUCAGCGGUAAAAUUGCGGGGCUCAACCUCGUCGAGCCGUUGAAACUGGGUGCCUUGAGUGGGCGAGAAGUACGCGGAAUGCGUGGUGUAGCGGUGAAAUGCAUAGAUAUCACGCAGAACUCCGAUUGCGAAGGCAGCGUACCGGCGCCCAACUGACGCUGACGCACGAAGGCGUGGGUAUCGAACAGG